UUUUCAGCUGUCAGCUCCUGGAAUAUCCUUCAGGCUGGAAAACAGCUGAGGGUUAUUUCAAGCAACCCUGAAAGAUCAGGAGACUCGGAUGGAAGAAUCUCCAGAAAGUUAUCUGGCAACUCUACAUCAGACUUGAGGAGUGACCCUGGGGAGGCAGCAAGGCCUCAAAGCUUUAUUUGCCUAUGGGGAAGCUGGAGACACGGGAUGAGCAGAGGAAAGGUGAAUGAAUGAUUUUCUAUUGCCAAGAGACUGAAGUGCCCCAAAACAGGCAAGCUGGAAAUUUCCAAAGCAGGUAAUGGAAAGCAGUCAGACAUACAAAAUAUUUUUUUUAACUGAAAAUGUGAAGGACAACGUCAUUUAUAAUGUUGAUUAAAAUAUCUAUCUACUCUCUUGCAAGAAUCUCA